rnacentral:rRNA from 1 species
GACGAACGCUGGCGGCGUGCCUAAUACAUGCAAGUAGAACGCUGAAGAGAGGAGCUUGCUCUUCUUGGAUGAGUUGCGAACGGGUGAGUAACGCGUAGGUAACCUGCCUUGUAGCGGGGGAUAACAGUCAGAAAUGACUGCUAAUACCGCAUAAGCGCACGAGACCGCAUGGUUUUGUGUGAAAAACUCCGGUGGUGUGAGAUGGACCCGCGUUGGAUUAGCCAGUUGGCAGGGUAACGGCCUACC